GCAUGCUGCACAGAGCAGGCAGUGACCCUGGAAGGUUCGAUGUCCCUGGGAACAUUCCCACUUUAAGUUGGACAGACCUUGAAGCACAUCUGCGCCAGCAUUUGCACGUUCAUGUCUCCCUUACAUGCCUCUCCUCCUGUUUAUUUGCCAGCGUAAAAGCAAUCAUUCUCUUUAUGAUCGCUCCUUCAAGUCAGACCCCAAGCCACUUGUAA
rnacentral:lncRNA from 1 species